CAGCCGCCACGGGAACACAGAGGGUGCAAGCGUUAAUCGGAAUUACUGGGCGUAAAGCGCGCGUAGGUGGUUUGUUAAGUUGGAUGUGAAAUCCCCGGGCUCAACCUGGGAACUGCAUCCAAAACUGGCAAGCUAGAGUAUGGUAGAGGGUGGUGGAAUUUCCUGUGUAGCGGUGAAAUGCGUAGAUAUAGGAAGGAACACCAGUGGCGAAGGCGACCACCUGGACUGAUACUGACACUGAGGUGCGAAAGCGUGGGGAGCAAACAGGAUUAGAUACCCGGGUAGUCCCUGUCUCUUAUAC
rnacentral:rRNA from 1 species